CACAAUUCUGGUGCCUGUUGCUUUCUCUAUUUUGUUCUUACAUCUUAUCAUAAUCGGAUUCAUGUCCAAAUUAUAGAAAUUCUUCUCAUUGGUAGUCUUUUUAUCGUCCGUUCUCUUUGUUUUUUUAUCCUGCUUUUUGGAAAUUUUCUUCCACAGUCUCAGAAUGGCAUUUUGGUUAUACCUGUGGCGUACCGCCUGUUCUAGACAUCAAAUUAACAUCAUUAGGAAUGACAAAGACAGGUAUGAUCCAGUGACCGUGCCGGGUGUGUGCGAAAUUGCGACCUUUGACAGUGAUAUACAGGAGAGUCUCGGGUACAUCGGUUGCCCUGCGGGGUCGCUGAGUAAGAGGGUGAGGGAACAUAGAAAGGACGU
rnacentral:lncRNA from 1 species